CGAAAUGGUCAAACCGUCUCAAAUUGAUCCAAUAAAUAAGGCGACGUUCUGGUUCCAUAAUCGUGACCUAGCUCUGCAAACACCAACACCUACCUCCCUUAUUUAACUCUCAACCAGGUAAGCUCAAAGUUUUCCAUUCUUAGUGAUCUGUUUCCAGAGCUUUAACUGAUAUAUAAUUCCAUGCUGAAUCUGUACCAAUUAUGAUGAGGUCUCUGGACCAAAUUAUAUU